UUCGGCCUUAGUGGCGCACGGGUGCGUAACGCGUGGGAAUCUGCCCCUUGGUUCGGAAUAACAGUUGGAAACGACUGCUAAUACCGGAUGACGACGUAAGUCCAAAGAUUUAUCGCCGAGGGAUGAGCCCGCGUAGGAUUAGGUAGUUGGUGUGGUAAAGGCGCACCAAGCCGACGAUCCUUAGCUGGUCUGAGAGGAUGAUCAGCCACACUGGGACUGAGACACGGCCCAGACUCCUACGGGAGGCAGCAGUGGGGAAUAUUGGACAAUGGGCGAAAGCCUGAUCCAGCAAUGCCGCGUGAGUGAUGAAGGCCUUAGGGUUGUAAAGCUCUUUUACCCGGGAUGAUAAUGACAGUACCGGGAGAAUAAGCUCCGGCUAACUCCGUGCCAGCAGCCGCGGUAAUACGGAGGGAGCUAGCGUUAUUCGGAAUUACUGGGCGUAAAGCGCACGUAGGCGGCUUUGUAAGUAAGAGGUGAAAGCCCAGAGCUCAACUCUGGAAUUGCCUUUUAGACUGCAUCGCUUGAAUCAUGGAGAGGUCAGUGGAAUUCCGAGUGUAGAGGUGAAAUUCGUAGAUAUUCGGAAGAACACCAGUGGCGAAGGCGGCUGACUGGACAUGUAUUGACGCUGAG
rnacentral:rRNA from 1 species